rnacentral:rRNA from 1 species
AUGACUAGAGAAGCAAUUUUCUUUCAACAAGUGCACGCCAAGAUUAGGAUCUCCCUCCAUCAGCCAGCAGGCAUCACCAUCUUAGCAGGUCGCUCCUAUUUCAGAUCUCUCGCUCCCCUGUGGCCGCGCCGGGCCGCACAGGGGCACCCCCGCCGGCCAUCUCUAGACCUCCUCCGCGUCAAGUCCUCCCCUCCCACCGCCGCUACCGCCAGGAGUCAAAACUCGUGUGGCACGGUGGCAGCGACGGAUCUCCUCGGCCAAAGUUCUGCAUUGCAUCAGCAGUGCUUGCCCCGGCCCUUCAAUGGCAGUGACAUGGGAUGGCAGUGGCGGCCAGGAUCGCAGAGCUUGUGGCAGCGGAUGAUGCAAAGUUAUCGAGCUGCAACGGCUGUGGUUGGGCCCUAUUUGGAAUCAGAUGGGUUUGGACGGGUCGCGACCUAG